rnacentral:tRNA from 2 species
GGAGAGGUGCCGGAGUGGUUGAACGGGCACGACUGGAAAUCGUGUGUGCGUUAACGCGUACCGAGGGUUCGAAUCCCUCUCUCUCCG